UCCCCUCUUUCUCCUGUCUUUUCCUCUGCCUUCCCCUUUGUCUCCUUCCAGGUCUCCUGUCUUAUUCACAGGGUUUUAAUAGCCAGACUUCACUCCCAUUUCAUGAGAGGAAUGGACGGGCUGUCCCUCAGACAUGGAAGAGCAGCCGCCAGAUAGUUGGAAUUUGGUCCUGCUGAGCACACAGGCCUGAGCUGUGAACAGAGGCGCGGGUGUCACAGCUAUCGACCCAAAGACCAAGGAGACAGUAAAUAAAUCUGCCUGGUUGCUUCUGCAUUGUCCUAGCCAUUCUUUAUUCUUGGAUAUUGGCAACUGUGAAUGAAACAUUUCUCCUGGUGCCCUGUCCCCAAAGAGGGAGAGAAUGAACUCUGAAGGUAUGAAUUCUCCCACAGAGAACCAGACCACUUUUACAAUCCUAAAAUCGG